rnacentral:tRNA from 1 species
CCUUCGAUAGCUCAGUUGGAAGAGCACGAGACGUAAGUUAUUGCCUGUCUUUGAUGUGAGAUUUUAAUUAAAUUUGAAAUAGUGUAAUUGUGCUAGUUAGUUUAUCUCGGGGUCGCCGGUUCGAUCCCGGCUCGAAGGA